CAGGUUUGAGUUUGAUCAUGGCUCAGAUUGAACGCUGGCGGCAGGCCUAACACAUGCAAGUCGAGCGGCAGCGGGAAAGUAGCUUGCUACUUUUGCCGGCGAGCGGCGGACGGGUGAGUAAUGCCUGGGGAUCUGCCCAGUCGAGGGUGAUAACUACUGGAAACGGUAGCUAAUACCGCAUACGCCCUACGGGGGAAAGCAGGGGACCUUCGGGCCUUGCGCGAUUGGAUGAACCCAGGUGGGAUUAGCUAGUUGGUGAGGUAAUGGCUCACCAAGGCGACGAUCCCUAGCUGGUCUGAGAGGAUGAUCAGCCACACUGGAACUGAGACACGGUCCAGACUCCUACGGGAGGCAGCAGUGGGGAAUAUUGCACAAUGGGGGAAACCCUGAUGCAGCCAUGCCGCGUGUGUGAAGAAGGCCUUCGGGUUGUAAAGCACUUUCAGCGAGGAGGAAAGGUUGGUAGCUAAUAACUGCCAGCUGUGACGUUACUCGCAGAAGAAGCACCGGCUAACUCCGUGCCAGCCGCCGCGGUAAUACAA
rnacentral:rRNA from 1 species